rnacentral:lncRNA from 1 species
UCAAAAUUUUUGGUGUACUUUUACUUUAAAUACUAUUACUUAAUGAACGACCCCUAAUGAAACCGUGAGUCAAACGGCAAAACCGUAUUUACAUAGCUUUUUUUAUUAACACGUGAGAUUUGUGAUUUAACAGAGAUGAUCUGAUGUUGUUGUCGGUUCUAACAUUUUUUGUUUUACGAAAAUGGCAAAAAGACUAUGUCCAUUUGAUGAUAGUCAUAAUCAGUUAAAGACUCAUGUAGACAUGCAUCAUGUUGGUAAAGAAAAUUAUAAACAGCAAGUUUAUGAGAAAACAAAACAACUUAUGCUAUCAGGUUCAAUACAGGCUCAAAAAAAUGAAGUUUUAAAUUUAAAUAACAAUAUGGAUAAAUCUCAAAGGGGAAAAAAUAAUAUUGGUCCAGUAUUUAAAGUUUUAAAAGAGAAGCGCACUUGUUAUUUUUGUCAAUUAAAAACUGAAACUUCUGAAAUUUCUUCUUGCUAUUAUUGUUGCAAAAGUAUAUGUAGAGAUAAGUGUAGCAAGAUUUGUGACUACUGUGCCAACUCAUUUUGUUUGAGUUGCUGGGUGAUUAAUUAUGAUACACCUGUUGAUCGCAUAUUGUGUGUUGCUUGUUAUAGUUGAUAAGCUCAUUUAUGUAUCAAUGGCUUUUUUUUCAGUUUGGGGAAAGUUUUUGUGUUAUAUAGGAAGUAAAAUGACUAAAUAAAAAAUCUUUGUUAAUAAUGAGACAUUUAUAAAAAUUGCUUGCAAAAUUA